AUUGAAUUCUUAGAAAGCUUCAGACCCAUGGAAAGUGUGGAAAGGAAAGCAACUUUGUAGGAUGCCUUCUCCAGGCUUCAUUUACCCCACUGUACUGAAGGCAUUAUGACACGGUAGAGUCAUUGCCUUGGAAACAAAUGGUAAUUAGGAAUGGAGGCAGAUGAUUUGAUUGCAUUAUUAAGUCUGAGCCUGCUAAGGAGAAAAACCCAGGCUCAGGGAAGUCCAAGGCAACCUGAAAAAUAAUUUUGGGAGCCCGCGUCCUAUGGUGGCAAGAAGCUGGCUGAAGCCUGUUGCCACAGAGGUGGAGGCAGGAGCACGGAGAAGGAGCAGAGGUGAAGACCCUGGAAAGCCAGCCACACGGCUGCUCCCACCUGCCUGCUAAAUCUCACAGGCCCUGUACGGUCACAGCCAAGUCGCAUGGAAAUACAUGCAUCUUCCCGGACCUUCCCGCCCUUGAGGACCUCACCCAGAGCCUGGAGAUCUGUCUCUUCUCAGCUGCCCAGCUCCUCCAUCAGCACCACACCAUCUCUCCACAGCUGUCUCUGAGUCCCCGAGGUGAAAACUGAAUCUCUUAUUGAAUUCCCUCAGCUCAUUUAUCAAGUCCCAACCACAUGGUGGUUUCUGUGCAAGCUCUGCACUCCCUCGUAGACUCUCAGGUCCUUACGGGUUGAGGCACACAUGGCUGAGGGAGCACAUAUUGGAGGUUUGAGUACAUUCCCCUUCCCCCUCUCAGUGGCCUUCAUGGAGACCAUGCUCAGAAAAUAUGGGUAAACCUGUCCAUCUUAGGCCUGCUGUUUCCUUCUUUCCCUUGGUGGAAGAGCACUGGCCAUCCA
rnacentral:lncRNA from 12 species